rnacentral:rRNA from 1 species
CCUACGGGAGGCAGCAGUGGGGAAUAUUGGACAAUGGGGGGAACCCUGAUCCAGCGACGCCGCGUGAGUGAAGAAGUAUUUCGGUAUGUAAAGCUCUAUCAGCAGGGAAGAAAGAAAUGACGGUACCUGACUAAGAAGCCCCGGCUAACUACGUGCCAGCAGCCGCGGUAAUCCGUAGGGGGCAAGCGUUAUCCGGAUUUACUGGGAGUAAAGGGAGCGUAGACGGCGAUGCAAGUCUGAAGUGAAAGGCGGGGGCCCAACCUCCGGACUGCUUUUGAAACUGUAUGGCUGGAGUGCAGGAGAGGUAAGUGGAAUUCCUAGUGUAGCGGUGAAAUGCGUAGAUAUUAGGAGGAACACCAGUGGCGAAGGCGGCUUACUGGACUAUAACUGACGUUGAGGCUCGAAAGCGUGGGGAGCAAACAGGAUUAGAUACCCCGGUAGUC